rnacentral:misc_RNA from 1 species
GUUGCUAGGUCAAGUGCAGAAACAGAAUAUCGAGCUAUGGCUUUGGCAACUUGUGAACUUAUAUGGUUGAAACAACUUCUCCAAGAGUUGAAGUAUGGGGAACUUAAACAAAUGCAGCUAAUCUGUGACAAUCAAGCUGCACUUCACAUUGCCUCUAAUCCAGUGUUUCAUGAGAGAACGAAACAUAUAGAGGUGGAUUGUCAUUUCAUCAGACAAAAGAUUGAAUCUGGGUGUAUUGCCACUAGCUUUGUUAGCUCAAAUGACCAAUUAGCAGAUAUCCUGACUCUCAAAGGCUCUUGAAUUGAAUAUAUUUGUAACAAGCUUGGAGCAUAUGAUUUGUACGCUCCAGCUUGAGGGGAAGUGUUAAUAUUUGUACCAUAAAUAGUUAGGAUAUUUGUAUCUGUAGUGAUUAUGUGAAUAUAUUUAGGUGCUAAAAUUGUGGCUAUAAUUACGUAUUUAAUU